rnacentral:piRNA from 1 species
GAGAGGAACAAUUCUGAGUCUUAAC